AUACCAAAAUUUCACUUUCUGAUUGCCUGAAAAUAUACGUGAGGUGCUUCACAGUAAAUUUUUUGCCCUAUAAAAAUUGGUAUUUAUGUAAAUAAUCCUUAAUUUAUGCUAAACUUUAAAAAUGCACUUCUUGGCCACUGACAGCCUUUAUAAAGCUUGGAUGCACUGGCACGAAGCCAAGAGAUAUCUGCCUAGACACACCAGGAUGGAAUGUGAGGAAUGUAAAGUGGGAGCUAGAGUACCGACAGCACCUGGGAGCAGCUAGCCUUCAUACCUGCCUUGAAAAAAAAACAAAAUAACUCUCACAUCCAAUGGGGACCAGUUAAUAUGAGCAUCUGAAAGGACCUACCACCGUCCAUGCAGCUGAAGGGGAUCAAGUUGCUUAAGAUCAGUAGAGAAGACAGAGGAGAAAUAUGUUUGGGGUCACUCAGGCAUGUCUGAAUACACGAGGCAGUUGGACAGAACCCCUUUCUGCAAAUAUUCAGUCUCCGUAUGAGAUUUAAGCAUCUGACUUCAGUUGCUGCCAAUAAAAGAUAUUAGGCUGAAGAUGUUUCAUCAUGAAAGACAACCACUGAAGCCAACAUGAGGGCUUCUUUCCCUCAAAUAUGAGGGCAGAGCCCCACAGCCUAGUAGUGAAGGUCAGCAAAUGAUGAAAAGCAACUCCUACUUUGUUAGAAUUAAACUUGUUGAGAGCCAGAACACAACAGCAGCAAGUUCCUGUUGGAGCCUGCAGUGAUUUGCAUGAGACCAUCACUCCUCUGCUAAUGCACAGCACUUUCACAGAAAUGUUGCAGAUCUCCACUGAAUUGGGAAUGGUUUUCUCUUUCUUUUUUUGUUUUGUUGACAUGCUGCUUAUAAAAGUGCACCAAGGUCACGUUUGGCUUCCUCCGUGCCUUUAUGAAAUGCAAAACUAGCAGAGAUGUCAAAGGAAUCAGGCUGAAGAAGCUGGUGUGAUUACUGCUGCAGAGCUGAGCAUACUCUGGAAAGUCUCUGCCAGAAACCCAUCCAAUUUUAGCCAGGGAGGAUUCAAACAGACAAGAGAUUUCAGGUUUGUGAGGAGAUUUGUCUGGUUGUGGUUAGGUUUGCCCUUUUUAUUAUUAUUCAUUAAAUAUAUUUGGAUUUAGUUCAACUGA